UUCCGAAUUCUGACUGCCCAAUCUUUUACAAAGACUAUUCCACACCGUAGGUCUCUCCUGCUUCUCGGCUUCAAUGACACCACACCAGGUUUAAAAGAUGCAUUUUGGAGUUUUGCACUGUUGGACAUCCAAUUUAUGUGGUUGUGAGGAGCUGCUAAGCAGUUUAUCUUCUAUCCAUUUUAACGAUCAAAACUGAAUUCCAAUGAAACCCUUAUACUGCCCGUUGACAACGUGAAAAUGGGCCAAAUUUAUAGCCAGCUUUAUUAAAUGGGGUUGUAAACAAACUCCUCUGCAUAAAGCCCUGCAAGUUGAGUCAGGCUUUGAGGCCAAAAAAAAAAAAAAAAGAUAAAACACAGGACCUGAAAUCAUCCUGACUAAGCAAGAGGAUGCUCCAAGAGGUUCAAAAUAUCUGACUGGACGAGUUUGAAAGGCCUGUCCGCAGACUCCCAAAUCUAAGCCAUACCAAAGGAAAAUGCUGGGCAUUGUGUGGAUUCAAAAUUAAUUUGCUUUAUCAUUUCCUGCAACAGUAGUAAAAACUUUCCCCCCAGUUUCUAAAAGCAGCAAGAUUGGUGGUGGUUGUGGUCAUGAACAGCCAAUGAAUGAUUCAUUCUCGCUCAAGUGGAACCCAUGGGAAAUGUUGCCAAUAACUUGGUUUAUAUCUUAUCUUCAGUUCUCAGCAGACAACAUAUUCGUCUAUAUUUUUACAAGAGUCAUAAAUUUUUCAGUUAGUGUACAAAUCAUAACACUACGUGAUUCCAUUUGGUCUCCAUCCUCAGGGCUUUGGGAGAGGGUUAUCAACUUCAGCCACGUAAAUAACCAGGAGAAGAUAGAUUCUGGAAUGCUCUUAAAGAAGCCUUAAGACAUGACUUUUCUCCCUUCUCUCAUCCCAUUUCUUCACUGAAUACAUCAAACAGCUUCGUAUCUACACACCAAUAGAAAAUCCCAAACAGAGAAAAAUAACAUCAAGUCAACUCUGAUUCAUGGAGAG